GUGCCAGCCGCCGCGGUAAUACGGGGGGGGCAAGCGUUGUUCGGAAUUACUGGGCGUAAAGGGCGCGUAGGCGGCCUACUAAGUCGGACGUGAAAUCCCUCGGCUCAACCGAGGAACUGCGUCCGAUACUGGCAGGCUGGAAUCCGGGAGAGGGAUGUGGAAUUCCAGGUGUAGCGGUGAAAUGCGUAGAUAUCUGGAGGAACACCGGUGGCGAAGGCGGCAUCCUGGACCGGUAUUGACGCUGAGGCGCGAAAGCUAGGGGAGCAAACGGGAUUAGAUACCCCAGUAGUCC
rnacentral:rRNA from 1 species